rnacentral:rRNA from 1 species
UACGUAGGGGGCGAGCGUUGUCCGGAAUCAUUGGGCGUAAAGCGCGUGUAGGCGGCCCGGUAAGUCCGCUGUGAAAGUCCAGGGCUCAACCCUGGGAUGCCGGUGGAUACUGUCGGGCUCGAGUCCGGAAGAGGCGAGUGGAAUUCCUGGUGUAGCGGUGGAAUGCGCAGAUAUCAGGAGGAACACCAAUAGCGAAGGCAGCUCGCUGGGACGUUACUGACACUAAGGCGCGAAAGCGUGGGGAGCGAACGAGG